GCGGGUUUAGCUCAGUUGGGAGAGCGUCAGACUGAAGUCCACUUCAAUCAUUUAUCUGAAGGUCAUGUGUUCGAUCCACAUAAACCGCA
rnacentral:tRNA from 1 species